GAUGAACGCUGGCGGCGUGCUUAACACAUGCAAGUCGAGCGAAGCACUUAAGUUUGAUUCUUCGGAUGAAGACUUUUGUGACUGAGCGGCGGACGGGUGAGUAACGCGUGGGUAACCUGCCUCAUACAGGGGGAUAACAGUUAGAAAUGACUGCUAAUACCGCAUAAGACCACAGGGUCGCAUGACCCGGUGGUAAAAACUCCGGUGGUAUGAGAUGGACCCGCGUCUGAUUAGCUAGUUGGUGGGGUAACGGCUCACCAAGGCGACGAUCAGUAGCCGACCUGAGAGGGUGACCGGCCACAUUGGGACUGAGACACGGCCCAAACUCCUACGGGAGGCAGCAGUGGGGAAUAUUGCACAAUGGGGGAAACCCUGAUGCAGCGACGCCGCGUGAAGGAUGAAGUAUUUCGGUAUGUAAACUUCUAUCAGCAGGGAAGAAAAUGACG
rnacentral:rRNA from 1 species